rnacentral:rRNA from 1 species
AGUGAACGCUGGCGGUAGGCCUAACACAUGCAAGUCGAACGGCAGCACAGUAAGAGCUUGCUCUUACGGGUGGCGGGUGGCGGACGGGUGAGGAAUACAUCGGAAUCUACUUUUUCGUGGGGGAUAACGUAGGGAAACUUACGCUAAUACCGCAUACGACCUACGGGUGAAGGCAGGGGAUCUUCGGACCUUGCGCGAUUGAAUGAGCCGAUGUCGGAUUAGCUAGUUGGCGGGGUAAAGGCCCACCAAGGCGACGAUCCGUAGCUGGUCUGAGAGGAUGAUCAGCCACACUGGAACUGAGACACGGUCCAGACUCCUACGGGAGGCAGCAGUGGGGAAUAUUGGACAAUGGGCGCAAGCCUGAUCCAGCCAUACCGCGUGGGUGAAGAAGGCCUUCGGGUUGUAAAGCCCUUUUGUUGGGAAAGAAAAGCAGCAGGUUAAUACCCCGCUGUUCUGACGGUACCCAAAGAAUAAGCACCGGCUAACUUCGUG